GGUAAUCAAGGCAAAACCUCUACCUGCAGGGAUAGCCAUGCUGCGAGAAGAGAUGAUUCAUCUACGAGUCCUGGAAUUGGCAAGAGGGGAGAGGAUUAAUAAUAUAUGGACUGACUCCAGAUCUGCAUUUGAGAUAGGGCCUGCUCAGGGUGCUGUCCGGAACAGAAGAUUGUGUGAAGGUCAAGGCUUUUUCAGGUCAGUGUCUGGAGGAGAAGUGGAAUGGAUCACACCAGGUGCUUCUGACAACCUUCAUGCCAAUCAAGAUGAAAGAACAGCCUGCCUGGAUUCACUAUUCAGGAGGCAUCCAAAGGAGCAUGGACCUCAGAGCCAGUAGGACUAACGAUCUGCAAGUUCUGAUGCUGACCCUUGGUGUUCUGAUCAGUAUCAUAAUUCUGGCUCUAAUCUUUACCUUACCCUGGCCAUAGUCCCCCACACUCACAUCAGCUGUCGGCCGUGAUAUUUUCUGAAAAAUCCCUUCGCCAGGAUUUCUUCUCAUGGGAGAUUGGGAGGCCUUGGAGAGGAAUGAAAAUAAUAAUUAUCUAAUUGCUUUUCCCUGUUUUGCUGCUUUGGAAUUUCAUCUGGAGAUUGUUUGUCCAGCAGGUGGUUGGUUGAUUGGUCUCAUGUGAAUUGUUUUACCUAAUGACCAAUUCCUGUCCUGCUGUGUCAGACUCUGAGGAAUCAAUCACAAGUUUUCAUUAUCAUUCUUGUUAAGCCUUCUGUCUCUGUUGUUCUCUAUAGUUUAGUAUAGUUUGAGUAUAGCAUUCUUUAAUAUCAUAUAAUAUAUCAUAUAUCUUAUAUCAUAUAUAUCAUAUAUCAUAUAUAUCAUAUAUCAUAAUAUAAUAAAUCAGCCUUCUAAGAA